rnacentral:rRNA from 1 species
UACGAGGGGGGCAAGUGUUGUUCGGAAUCACUGGGCGUAAAGGGAGCGUAGGCGGAUGUUUAAGUUGGAUGUUUAAAACCGGGGCCUAACCUCGGAGCGGCAUCCAAAACUGGGCAUCUUGAAUAGGUCAGAGGCUGGUGGAAUUGGAGGUGUAGCGGUGGAAUGCGUAGAGAUCUCCAAGAACACCUAUUGCGAAGGCAGCCAGCUGGGACCAUAUUGACGCUGAGGCUCGAAAGCAUAAAAAGCAAACAGG